UACGGAGGGUGCAAACGUUGGCUCGGAAUCAUUGGGCGUAAAGCGCACGUAGGCGGCCUGUUAAGUCGGGUGUGAAAGCCCUGGGCUCAACCCAGGAAGUGCACUCGAAACUGGCGGGCUUGAAUAUGGAAGAGGGUCGCGGAAUUCCCGGUGUAGAGGUGAAAUUCGUAGAUAUCGGGAGGAACACCAGUGGGCGAAGGCGGCGACCUGGG
rnacentral:rRNA from 1 species